CUGUGCUUUCUCUCUGGGGGGUGGGUGGGGGGGCAGUAAUGACACGCGGUCUCACCCCAUUGCUGCUCACACCCCUCCCGACAGGCUGGGGGGGGGUCCCGCGUCCCAUUUAGGACCAGCUCCUGCUAAAUGUCCCAUACCAGGGCUGCCAUUUGAUGAUGCUUAUAAUCACGGAUGGAGCUGCUGGUGCAUGAUGGGGUAAUUACUGGAAGAGAGAGCAGAGGAAAAAAGAGAAGAAGAAAAAACACACCUUUGUGCGCCAGGCUGUCCUGUCAGACUGAUGGAUGGAUUCUGACCUUUCAAAGUCAAGCUAUUUAUAGGGAGUAGAGAUGCCCCUGUCAGCCACUUUUAGACAAACAUUCUCUCUCUGUCACACACACUCACACUUGCACGUGCGCACACACACACACACACACUCUUGAACACACGCACUCAUACACACACACACUUGCAUGCAUGCGUGCACACACACACACAUGCUACCAUUCAUAAACACUUGGGACAGAGGUGCUUGUUUCAGUGAAUAGAGUGAAUUGUUGGGUGAAUUUCGUCUGAAAUGUCAGAGGCAAACAAAGACAGGCUGGCACUGAGCCCAGACAGAAAGAGGAGCCUGAACUGUCAAUCAUUUUUAAAUUAAUUUUCUUUUUGGUAGAGGGGGACGCAAAAGCAGGCCAUUCAUGUCUUUUACACGUCGUCUUUCUUUGUGAAAGUGACAAUCCUCUUCCUCAGUGUUUGCGACAGAGCUCUGUCCCUCCUCUUCCUCAGUGUUUGCCACAGAGCUCUGUCCCUCCUCUUCCUCAGUGUUUGCCACAGAGCUCUGUCCCUCCUCUUCCUCGUUAAUUACCUGCUUGUUAGCUGUCCUAUGCACCUGACCCCCCAUAUUGCAUCUGUACUGAUGGGAUCAGGUGUACAUGGUCCAUCUCAUACCUGUAUCUCAUACCUGUGCACAUGUGCUGCAUGCGAAGGCUUGAGGACACGCAGUCUCACCCAGAAGCAGAAAAGACAACGACAGGAAAUUGAAAAACUGCGUAAUUUCCACUGUUAGGUCAGUCCGUUUUGGAACAGACGUUUGCAUUAGUCUGUGUCUAAAGCCUCAUUUCAGUGACUCAGAUUUCUGGCCCACUGCUGGGUCUUCCCCCCAACCGCCAACCCCCAUGCAUUUUACUCCCAUUGCGUUUUUCUGUCGGGGGAAGAAAUGAGCUCAGAUGGAUUUCCAGUUCAGGAAACAAAGAUGCUGUGCAGGCGGCAGGCGUCCACCAGAGGGCGCUAAAGAGUCAUUUUUAGCUCAUCUCGAAGUUGCGCAGUCAACUAUUUUCUGUCCAUGCGAAUUAGUCGACGCUUUGAAAAUUAUUUUUGCAGUAUUGGUAAAACAUACUUUUUUCAUGGAAUCAAUUCUCAGUUGCUUCCAAGAUGGGAGGUCUUUGAAGUAAAUGACUAAUUCAA